rnacentral:rRNA from 1 species
GGGGAAUCUUGGACAAUGGGCGCAAGCCUGAUCCAGCAAUGCCGCGUGGGUGAAGACGGCCUGCGGGUUGUAAAGCCCUUUCGGGGGGGAGGAACGGCGCCAUGGUAAGACCGUGGUGAGGUGACGUUACCCCCAGAAGAAGCACCGGCUAACUCCGUGCCAGCAGCCGCGGUAAUACGGAGGGUGCGAGCGUUAAUCGGAGUUACUGGGCGUAAAGCGCGCGUAGGCGGUUAGAUGCGUCCGGUGUGAAAGCCCUGGGCUUAACCUGGGAAUGGCAUCGGAGACGGUUUAGCUAGAGUGGGACAGAGGAUGGCGGAAUUCCCGGUGUAGCGGUGAAAUGCGUAGAGAUCGGGAGGAACACCAGUGGCGAAGGCGGCCAUCUGGGUCCACACUGACGCUGAGGUGCGAAAGCGUGGGGAGCAA